GCUCUGACACUUUUCCCUAAAAUAUUUAAUGAACUUUAGGGGAAGCCAGUAAACAUGCACGGAGCACGUCAUUUUUCAGUGAGCCAAGGAGGCAAGACAGACCAGACUCCUGAAAGAGGUGCCGUGGUGGGGAAAGGCUGAGAGCCACUGGAAUAUAGGACCAAGAGAAAGAGCACACUGGAGAACAGACCAUGGUGGGGGGACCACGUCAGCGGUUUACUGGACUAUAACUGGGGGACAAGAACAGCACCCUGCAGUCCUUCAGGAAGCCAAAAGGAGAGCAUGCUUUGCAUUCAUGAAAAGGGGGUUUCAUCAGUGGUGGCUGGUGGCCCUGGGAGAAUGCUUUAGCCAUGGAUUUUACCUGUUAAAGUUAAACUUGGCCUAUCUGAAUCCUGUUAUACCUGAUGAUUGGUGUGUAACCUGUUGGUCUUAUUGCUUCGCUCACUAUCUCUUCAAUCUUAACGAAUAAACUCCUGUUUGUUUUCACUAAAAAUA